rnacentral:snoRNA from 1 species
CCCUGCAUUCGAAAGUGAUCUCGGCUGCCUGUGCUCUGGUCAUUGGUAGUGCAGGGAAAGGAUGCUGAAAGACAUGUUCCUGGAUUUGGGGCAUCUAUCNUGACNCCUCGAAGGCCUGGAGCUUUCCUACA